UCUUAAUCUCAGAUCAGGCAGGAUGACCCGCUGAACUUAAGCAUAUCAGUAAGCGGAGGAAAAGAAACUAACCAGGAUUCCCUUAGUAACGGCGAGUGAAGCGGGAAUAGCCCAAUCUGAAAAGCUAGUCAGCCCUGGAGCUGGUCUCGCAUUGUAGGUUGAUGAAUCGUUUCCUAGUGUUAAACCUUUCAAUUAAAGUUCCUUGGAACAGGACAUCAAAGAGGGUGAUAAUCCCGUGAUUAAUUGAAUGACAUACCAGUUUAAUGCGUCUAUGGAGCGUUUUCUUAGAGUCGGAAUGUUUGGGAUUGCAUUCCAAAGUGGGUGGUAAACUCCAUCUAAGGCUAAAUACUGGCGAGAGACCGAUAGCGAACAAGUACCGUGAGGGAAAGUUGAAAAGCACUCUGGAGAGAGAGUCAAACAGUACGUGAAAUUGCUAGCAGGGAAACGUUGGAUACCAGUACACGGCAAUUAAUGUCAAUGAUCAGUUAAUGUAUUGUUUAUUUGUGAUGUGGUGUUUACUUUGGAGAUCGUCUCACGGCGACUCACAUAUCAUAAAUGAAUAAUGUAUUGGUGCACUCAUUGGCAGCCGGGUCAACAUCAGUUAAUGACGUUCGAUAAGUUAUUAGACAAGGUAUCAUUAGUAAGUUUACUUACUUUUGAACUUAUAGGUCUGAUGUACGAGGAUGUUAUUGACUGAGGAUAGUCGAUUCGUGCGUUUCGGCGCAGGGCGUACUGGCUAGAUCAAGGCAGCCCGUGGCGUUAAGCAGCAUGCUGAUUAACGUUCAUUUUAUCAUAUUUAUAUGAUAGUGGCGGUCGUUUAGCUAGUACAAGCCACUAGCGAGUCAAUGAUGGUUGACGAAAUGGUAUUCAACGACCCGUCUUGAAACACGGACCAAGGAGUCUAACAUGUCUGCGAGUGUUUGGAUGGAAAAUCCUUACGCGGAAUGAAAGUAAAGAGGCAAGCUUCGCACUUGUCCAUUGGUAGGAAUCGAAGUGUUUCGGCACGACGAGGCACUACCGACCGACCUGUUGCCCUCUGUGGUGGUAGGUUUGAGUUGGAGCAGUCCUGUUAGGACCCGAAAGAUGGUGAACUAUGCCUGAGCAGGAUGAAGUCAGAGGAAACUCUGAUGGAGGUCCGUAGCGGUUCUGACGUGCAAAUCGAUCGUCGGACUUGGGUAUAGGGGCGAAAGACUAAUCGA
rnacentral:rRNA from 1 species